rnacentral:misc_RNA from 1 species
GUUUUUUUUUUUUUUUAAAGAAAAUUUUUUACUGAUUUUAAGUCCUUCUAGCUUGGAGUUUCAUACUGGCAUUUUAUUUAUUUUGGGUUUCUUGAUCUUUAUUUUAAGCAUUUUUAAAUAUAUUUUCUGUUAAAAUAUGGAUUUUUUGUUGUUGGUGGAUUAUGUCUUAUUGGACUAAUGAAUGAAUGUAAACAAGUGUCAAGUUUGUAGGUUUUUUCGAAUUUUAAGGAUCAAAUUAUUUCUUAUGUAUAUUUAAAUUGUAAAUUUUUAUGGAACAUUCAUGUGUUUCAUAUAGUGUUUGAUUUGGUUUUGCAAGUCUAAGGUUAUUUUGAAUUUAAUAGAUAGGAAAUUUGAUGUUGCCAAUUGAAGAUAUUGAUGCUUAUUAUUACAGUGUUAUGUUACCCUGGAAGGAUAAUAAGCAGAUGCAAAUGUUGGAAAUUUGUGGCUGAUUUUUUUGCCUGUAUCUUAAUGGAUCUUGGCUACGACACAGAGAUCGCAGUGAUAGAUGUAGAUGGGUAGUUAUAGCACAUGCACAACGAUCUGUAAUUCUAGAGUUCAUUAUUAAUGACAUAAAACUAUAUAACAUGAUAAGAAUAUAUGCUUCUAUUAUGCUUCUAUUAUAAAGCAUACUUCUAAUUAGCUAAAUGAUAAUUCUAUAUUUAUCAAAAUGUCUCUUCAAUAUUUUUUUGUUACUUUUUUUUAGAGCAUAUAUCAGUUUUAAUUAAUUGAGAAAUUUUGUCGAAUCUUAUGAUUGAUUUGAUUCUCGAUUCACAAAAUAAAGAUUUUGAUUCUUGAUUCGAAUCUCAAUUUGACAACUAUGGCCAAAGUCUAGUUCAGUGAGGCACAAGCCUGGAGAGAGAAAUCUGUUCUCAGGUUAUGAAUGCUGAAAUUCAUGAACUCCAUCAAUAUGUAAGAUGUAUCCACAAUUGAAAUGCAUUUUAUUGUUUUGUACUUUUAUGUCCAUAUAUCCUUUUAGGUUUGAUUAACCUCUGAACCUAUAUUUUGCACAGUUUGAAUGUUUGUUGUAAUUGACUGCUAGCUUGACCUUUGUUCUUCCUUUCAUGAUUUUGGGGUGUCUUUGAAUUAUCUAUGUCUAGGAUCAAGCUUCCUUCUG